AUAAAGAUGUUAAAUUAUAUCCUUACCAAAAAAUAGGCUUCUGGCAAACAGCUGUGGCAAACCUUUGACCAAUUUGCAGCAAGCUCAUAUUUUCACAUGUAAAUUUGCUUUUGGCAAACAGUUUCGGUAAAUUCGCAGCAACUUGUUAACUUCUUGCAAACAAGUCAGGGAAACGUGUGGCAAAUAUUCUACUGUUUGCUGCAAAUUGGUUGCAAACUCAGUAUGAAUAUUUCAAUUAGAUCAGGUUUUUAGUUAAUGUGUGUUAACAUGGAAAUGUAUCUACAUACACCAAAUCAUAUAUAAAACUUUAAAUUAACUUCUCAGAGAAAAAACUAAACAUACUAAAUGUAGUAAAUAUACCAAAUAAUUUGUAUUCAAUUUCUUAACAGAAAAUAAAUGAAAUCCUCAGCAUGGUAAUGAAGAAAAGAGCAAUGACUGGAUAUUAUCAGGAUUUUUUGAAAUGUCAAAUUAGUAUGUACAGUGGCAAGAAAAAGUAUGUGAACCCUUUGGAAUUACCUGGAUUUCUGUAUAAAUUGGUCAUCAAAUUUGAUCCGAUCUUCAUCUAAGUCACAGCAAUAGACAAACGGUGUGCUUACAAUAAUUUGUGUGUCAUAUUAGUUUAUUUCUCGUCUAUAUUGAAUACAUUUAAAAACAUUCACAAUCUAGAUUGGGAAAAGUAUGUAUUUGAACACCUAGGCUAAUGACUUCUCCAAAAAUGAAUUGGAGUCAGGAGUCAGCUAACCUGAAGUCCAAUCAAUGAGACGAGAUUAGAGAUGUUGGCUGCUUUGCCCUAUUAAAAAAAACUCACAAAAUGUAAGUUUGCUAUUCACAAGAAGCAUUGCCUGAUGUGAACCAUGGCUCAAACAAAAAGAGAUCUCAGAAGACCUAAGAUUAAGAAUUGUUGACUUGCAUAAAGCUGGAAAGGGUUACAAAAGUAUCUUUAAAAACCUAGAAGUUCAUCAGUCCACAGUAAGACAAAUUGUCUAUAAAUGUAGAAUGUGAUCCCCGUACAGGGAUCAACAUCAGGGGAAAUUUCAGUGACAACUAAAAGUACAACGUCGUAACAUUAAACAUUCUUGGAAAUGCACGUGUCUUACAUCCUUCAAAAGAUUAGGAUCUUGGUACUCAAACUUUGUUUUCCGAUUUAAAAUAGCUAUUACAGAGAACAAAUACCAUAAUUUUGUUUGAGAAGAGCAUUCAACAACAAAAGCAUUUUCCGCCAUGACAGUUUUUACACAUUCACAUCUGAAGGUAAAAUGAUGACUUACAUUCUGAUAUCUUGCUCUUAUUUCUCUUCCUGAGGGUUCCAGUGAUCAAAUGAAGUGCCGUUUUCUUUGAUAAAAUCUAUUUUUAUAGCCUAAAUCGAAACAUUUUGUAACCUGUUUGUGCCGUGAAUUCCAUCUCUAUCAUUUUUUUACAGAGCAUCCGACGUAAUUACACACGGUAAACAAUCGUUUAUCUAGUCAUGGUUGGUUUCAGUGCAUUUCUCUGGAUGUUUGCAACACAGUCAAUUGUUUUUUUUGCAGGGAGUAUUGACCGAAGUGAACUGAUUUGAAGACAAAGACCAAUGACUACCUUGCACACCAAUCAUUUUAGCGAAGCUUCGUUGAUUGACUGUAUUUAUGCCCAAUGACCAUGGAUCUUCUUGAAAUCUAGCUGGGUAGAUAGCCAAUGAGCUGAGGUAAACGCCAGUAUGUAAUGGUUUUGGGUUGGACCACCAUUCCUUGUUUGAACAUGCACGCAUAAGGAACUCCAUUCUCGCCUUGACUAUCAGAGGAGUUGCUGUGAGGCUUGUUACGCACAGCAGUAUUUUGGAAAGUUGUAUUUUCAACGAUUUCAUUGAAGACAUGGCGAAUAAAUCAGGAAAACCAAAGUCAACGUCUAAGUAUACAGAUUUGCACCAGAUUAUAGAAGAGAUUGAUCUGGAAAGUAAGUGAGACAGAUCUUUGUUUAAGGAAUCUUUGAGUGUUAUGAUUCAAACAGGAGCUGAGGAGCUGUUUCUGCAAAGACAGGACGUACUUCUGGACGGUGAUAGCGACUCCGACUGGGAACCCCCGGUACCAAGCUGCCUGCUCUACCUCUGCCCCCUCUACUCCUGCCUCCAGUGGUGUUCAUAUGCCACAGUUCAUUACUGCAGGCAUGACUGUGCCUCAGGGCCAAAAGGGCACAGCAUGGAGGUGUCGUUGUGUCUGUGUCACAUGACCUGCACCACUUGUUCAGUUUGCCUCUGCUUUACAUCAGAAAGAGACUGCUAUGGGACAUGGCACAGGCAGCAAAAUAUUGUGUAGAGGACUUCCAAAGGGUGUACUGUUUUAAAAAUGUAUUUUCUAAUAUUUUUUUCAACAUUUUUUUUGUGUGUGUUAGAAUUGCUUUUUGAUAUGUUGUAUAUAGUUAUUUGCACUGUUGUAUAUAGUUAUAGGUAAUUUCACCAAUUCGGCCACUUGGGUACAUUUGGGCAACUUGUGUGGGACACCUGGGUGACUUCAUGCUAAAUGUCAUGUAGCUCACCCAUUCCUGAAGUUAUCAGUCUGAAACUUUGCACACCUACAAAUUAUCUCCAGCAUCCUAUCUGACUGUGUGGCUAUUCUAGUACAUGUGAAAGAUGAUGCUACAACAAUAAAAAACAGAUAACGUA